CCUUUAACAGUACUAGGGGAACCUGUGUGGUAAUCGAUACUCCACGUUAAUCUUCACCUUUUCUUGAAAUUCUCAGCCUGUAUACCUCCGUCAUAACUCACCUUUAAGAGUUUACUAGUGAGUAAAAAGUGCUUCACCACUGUAUGGCAGGUCAAGGUGCAGCCUAUGAAAAGGGGCACCAUGGGUGACAAUUUGGUAAAAGAUAAUGAAUUUUCUUAGGAAAUUAAGAAAUGAAAAAGGACUUAGUAGUAAGGAAUUCUUUAAAAUAAAUUCCUGAAAAACUCCCUAGAAGGUGCACAAAUC
rnacentral:rRNA from 1 species